UGUGAUUCUUGCCUGGAAGGAAGGGCUUGCUCCAAUCAUGGGAUCUGGAUAUUUACAUCCUGAUGAACAAAGUGCAGAAAUAUAUAAAUAUUCUGUGUUGAUGUGCAUCUGUUCAGCAAUAGAUAACAGAAGACAUCAAAAUGUGGUAAGUAACUUCACUGUCACUCAAGAUUGCCCUAACAACCUGUGUGCCACUUGUUUAAUCUUACCACAUUUUGAAGUUAUAUUUGGCAUCCGUUACUGAACAGAUGCAUGACAACACUGACAGUAACACCCCGCAAUUCCUUUCCCAAGAUUGGUCAACUUAUAAAUCACUUUACAAUACCCCUUAACCUUGUCAAGCAGACAGAUGUCAAGAAUAAAGGAAAUCAACAAAUUAGGGAUUGUAAAUACCUAGGGAGUGUGUUGGGGAGAGUAGGGCCCAGUAGGAUCCAAUGUUCUUUGGGUAGUUUUAUCUAUGGAUGAAUAAAGGGUGUCGACAAGGGUCUCCUAUAUACCUUUAAAUCUAGGCCUAAUUUAUUGAUCACAAAAAAGAACUAAUAGGAAGUUCACAAUAAAUGCAUAAAUUUAUUGGAUCAAUGAAUCAUAUAUCACCGACACAGCACACAUGUAUUAAAGAGCCUCAACUGCAUCACAAUAAAAUAAUUUGACACAAAAGAUAAAAGUAUUGUCAAUAGAUGUUUUGAUGCAUCAAGCAUCAUUCUCAAGACUGAGGUUGUUAAUCAAGACUGAGGUCCUUAAUGCUAAUGUCAAAGUUGUUAUUUAUGAGUUGACUUUGAAAUUGAGUACAUUCAAGUAUGCUUGAUGCAUUGAAACGUCGAUUUACUCUCUUGUAAAAUGCUUUAACAAGCAACUCAUUUAAUCUAAUAAAAUAAUUAACCCAAAUGUGUUUUGUACUAUAUUCUGCACAACCUUAUGUGCUACAUAGCCAAGAAAAAAAAAAUCGAUUUUGUUGAAAGUAUAAUUAAAAUACCAUUCUACAUGUGCACUCCGACUGAAAGGUGCAAUCAUAAUCUACAUGUACCAGACUUGUUAAGAAGCAGUUUCAUUAAAAAAAAAGCAUAAUUAAGAGCAUGGAGGCAAGGAUUUCCCUGGCUAUUCCAAAUUUCAUCCCUCUGCUACAUCUUUUGACAUCUUACCGUAAAAUAAUGAGGCUCAUUAGUGUCAAUGACUAUGUACAUUCUUCAGUUGCUAACCAAACAUUAAAUCAAUCUAUAAUUAAAAUUUUAUCUUUAUUUGGUUUCAUAGUGACAUUUAAUUAAAGAUUUAAUAUUGAGGCAGCCUAAAGUGAAGUAAAUACUGUUAUUUCACUUGUAAAAAUUUGGAUGGAACCUACUCUGGCCACAAAUUAGGUGUCAAAAAAAAAAGUCUAUUCAAGCUGAGCAGUAAUUACGGGGAACUCUUUGUUCUCAAUCAACAUGGACGUGCUGACAGAAGAACAAAAUUAAGUUAAUUGGUGGUUAUAUCUGUUUUUAAUUUACGUCUGAUGUAUUAUGCGGUUAGUGCUAUGACUUUUCUGUAACUUUUUUUUGAGUCAGUGUGGUAAUAAUUUUAGACCGAUGUACAUAUUUAAGCUUUCAUAAUCACACUAAUUGUGCAACGCCGGGAGACCCAUGAAUAUCGGCUUACAAAAAACUUGGUAACUUUUUGCAGAUAAAUUGAACGAAA